CAGUCGCCGCGGUAAUACGUAGGGUGCGAGCGUUAAUCGGAAUUACUGGGCGUAAAGCGUGCGCAGGCGGUUCGUUAAGACAGAUGUGAAAUCCCCGGGCUUAACCUGGGAACUGCAUUUGUGACUGGCGAGCUAGAGUAUGGCAGAGGGGGGUAAAAUUCCACGUGUAGCAGUGAAAUGCGUAGAGAUGUGGAGGAAUACCGAUGGCGAAGGCGGCUACCUGGACUGACACUGACACUGAGGCGCGAAAGCGUGGGGAGCAAACAGGAUUAGAUACCCGCGUAGUCCCUGUCUCUUAUAA
rnacentral:rRNA from 1 species